rnacentral:rRNA from 1 species
UACGUAGGGUGCGAGCGUUGUCCGGAAUUAUUGGGCGUAAAGAGCUCGUAGGCGGUUUGUUGCGUCGGCCGUGAAAACCUGCAGCUUAACUGUGGGCCUGCGGCCGAUACGGGCAGACUUGAGUUCGGUAGGGGAGACUGGAAUUCCUGGUGUAGCGGUGAAAUGCGCAGAUAUCAGGAGGAACACCGGUGGCGAAGGCGGGUCUCUGGGCCGAUACUGACGCUGAGGAGCGAAAAGCGUGGGGGAGCGAACAGG